CUCCGUGCCGCCGCGCACGUCGCCGGAGAAGCAGCCCCCCAUCCCUGAUUAUCUCUCGGCUCACGCGCGCGCUUGUAUCCGAGUUUACUUGCUGCUGACAGUUGACAAAUCCCGUGCUGGAGCUUCCGCCAGGCAGCACGCAGCAGCAGCGCGUAUUUGUAGGCCGCGUUGCCUGUCUACAGCCAGCAGGAAGGAAGGAGACAGGGAGCUCGG
rnacentral:lncRNA from 1 species